AUUGUAUCAACUCAAGAAAAUGAGUGGACAAGAUACCAUUAAAAUUUAACUAAGAGACGAGCUUAUUAUAUAGAUUUUUUGACAUCAAGUUACAAUGUCCAGCCUUGAUGCUAUCUCAGUAGUCUGCAAGCUAUCCUGGUCUUCAGAGGUUCAGCCGUGAUACAUUCCAGAUUGGAAGAGCUGGAAAACUAUUGCAAAGAUUACUUUACAUAUAGUGUCUAUCGUAAAUGCCGAAAAUUCUCACAAAUUUUGUAAUCUCUUAGUUGAAUUAAUGAAAUUUUUUCUCUCUUUCUAUUUAAAAACCAAGUGUACUAUUAAUCAUUGUUUGGAUCGAAAUAAUCUGUAUAUAAUACACAGUUCAUAAAAUAAACAAAUUUAUUGACACAAACCAAAAUAUGUUGCUUUAAGUUUCCACAAAAUUCCUCAAAUAUUAAAAUCAAUUAAUCAACAAAACAAAAAAUAUAGAUGCUACCCACCAAGGUUGAAACACAUAAAAAAAUAAAUAAAAUUAAAAAAAUUGAAUAGAAUUGUACAAAAUUAAAUACUUAACCAAUGCUAAAUCAUGUCCAUUUCAUGUUCUUCCCAGUAUAAAAAAAUGAAUCCUGUUAUCGCUAAAUUUCAUACUAUAUAGCUUUUGAUCUGUAAAUUGGGACUGUAAAUUUGCCAGUGUUCUCGUUCCUUAACUAAGUAUAUCUCUGAGGCCUGGUACAAAAGAAAUUAAACCAAGGGGAUUUUCAUUUCGAAGGAGAUUCAAUUCUCCUUUUUAAUUGUGUGUCCACAACUAUGUUAUUGUUCUCAACACCCACACCUUUGCAUGAACUGUUAGCUUUAUUGCCAUGGGACAUGUGGAUUGCAGGGAUUCAUUUACUAAAAAUUUGCCUUAUCCUUUGUUCGUGCACAAUAAUGGAAAGCAAACAGUAGAUAGGCAUUGAGUCUCAGAUGACUAUAUGUUAUAUCAGCAUUUUGAUACUGUUUCUACCUCAGAAACACUGACACGCUGUUGGUGACAACGUAUCGGUGUCCAAUACAUAUCAGACACCGAUAACCCUCUAACACGUUGCCGACGCGUGUCGGAGUUGCUUGCAACGUGUCAGAGGAUUUGGUGGGCAGCUGACUUGAAGAGAUUCAACAAGAAAAAUAAAGGGGAGGAAGAAAUUCUACCGGCGGAAGUCUGGCAGUCUGGGGAAGGACAAAAAAGAGAAGGAAAGAAACAAGAGGAAAAGAGAAGAGGAAGAGAUUGCUGGGCUGAAAAAAUGCAACGGGUGGAAGUGAGUGGUCUGGGGAAGGAAAGAGAACAGAGAUGGAAAGAAAAAAGAGAGAAGAGAAGAGAAAGAGACUGCCGGGCAAAAAAAAAUGUCAUGG
rnacentral:lncRNA from 1 species